CGGUGGCUAGAGCGACAGGGCCACACCCGUUCCCAUCCCGAACACGGAAGUUAAGCCUGUCAGCGCCGAUGGUACUGCGAGGGACACUUCGUGGGAGAGUAGGCCGUCGCCGGCCU
rnacentral:rRNA from 1 species